AAGGAUUUAAGUUAAAUAAACUAUUAACCUUCAAAGUUAAAAAUAGAGUUUUCUAAGCCUUA
rnacentral:tRNA from 1 species